rnacentral:lncRNA from 1 species
GGGGGGAUUUUGAUUGAGUUUACAUAUCGGGGGGGAUUUUGAUUGUGUUUAUUACAUAUUAUUCUUUGCAACAAAAAGAGUGAUUGAGCCCGACUAAAGCGAGUGAGUGAAAGGCGUGGCAAGAGAGCGAGUUCAACUCGUGAACGAUCAGCAAGUGAAGGAAGAAAAUCAUGAUUGUUCUGUUUUUUUUUUAGUUCUUUUGCGGAUUAAUGUGAUUUUCUUUUC